UUGACAUGGACUACCAGUGCUUUUGUGGUAUGCUCUCAAAGAGUCGAGUUGUUUGGGAAUGCAGCUCAAAAUGGGUGGUAAAUGCCAUCUAAAGCUAAAUAUUGGCGAGAGACCGAUAGUGAACAAGUACCGUGAGGGAAAGAUGAAAAGAACUUUGGAAAGAGAGUUAAACAGUACGUGAAAUUGCUGAAAGGGAAACGCUUGAAGUCAGUCACAUUGACUUGAAAUCAGCUCUGCUUUUGCUGGGUGUACUUUCUUGUCAAUGGGUCAGCAUCAAUUUUGAUCAUUGGAUAAAGUCAUUGGGAAUGUAGCAUCUUUAGAUGUGUUAUAGCCUGGUGAUGCAUACAGUGGUUGGGAUUGAGGAACUCAGCACGCCACCAGGCCGGGUUUCGACCACGUUCGUGCUUAGGAUGCUGGCAUAAUGGCUUUAAUUGACCCGUCUUGAAACACGGACCAAGGAGUCUAACAUAUCUGCAAGUGUUUGGGUGGAAAACCCAUGUGCAUAAUGAAAGUGAAAGUUGAGAUCCCUUCUCAAGGGGGGGGAAGCAUCGACGCCCGGACCAGACCUUUUGUGACGGAUCCGCGGUAGAGCAURUAUGUUGGGACCCGAAAGAUGGUGAACUAUGCCUGAAUAGGGUGAAGCCAGAGGAAACUCUGGUGGAGGCUCGUAGCGAUUCUGACGUGCAAAUCGAUCGUCAAAUUUGGGUAUAGGGGCGA
rnacentral:rRNA from 1 species